GAGCUGGCAUGGCAUGGGGGGAGAAGGAGAAUGAACUUCACCUGCUUUUCACUGGCUAAAUGAAAAGGCCUCGGUCCGGCUUUUCUGGGAUCAUCUUCAUGUGCUAUUGCCUAACAAAGCUUCGUGUGGUUUCCCUUUAGCAUUCCUCUGCACGUGUGUAUGUGCGUGCUUAUGGACGAGUUGAUGUUGUCCCACGGUUGUUGUGUGAAAGCCCCGGCGAAGGCAACGGCCGCACAGAACGUGUGCAGGCUGGCGGAUGCGGUCCCUCAGAAAGCGGUUGGAUCCCUGAUGAGCCUGUAGAGGCCCCUCAAGGCCCCACAAAGAUUUGGAAAUACCUCAGCUUCUUUUUGUGACCAAUCUCAGCAGCGUCGCCCUUUCUGGUUGACACCUUCCAAUCUCCUGUGCUGUUGGAGACUGAAGCUGGAGCUGCUCAAAGGAUCAGUCCUUUGAAGUGUUAAUGUCCCUCUUCUCGGUGCUGCGUGGGAAGCGAAUUCCCCUCCUUCAGCUGCCUGUGCCCAGCCUGGAUGCGUGGUCUCACCUGGACCAUCUCAAGGUUGCGUUGCUGUCACCUUCACUGUGUGACUGGGAAGAGUGUGUCUGUAUCGGGGGACACUUUGGCCUCUUCUGCCCAGGCCCAGGGAAGCUGGAGGAACCCUGUGGAAACCAGCGUUGUCUGCAUUAAAGCUUUUGAUCGGUUGCCAAGUGCUGUAUGUGUUUUACUUUUUCC